AUAUCACUAAGCGGAGGAGAAGAAAUUAACUAAGAUUGCCCCAGUAACGGCGAGUGAAGCGGCAAAAGCCCAAAGUGGAAAUCUUCACCUUUCAGGUGACGAAUUGUAAUCUAUAGGCUGGAAUCUCACCGGUCGGUGGCGCAGAAGUGACCUGGAAUGGUACGCCAGAGAGGGUGACAGCCCCGUACGUGGUGCCACUGCUUAACGAGCGGGUUUCCGAAGAGUCGGGUUGUUUUGUAUUGCAGCCCUAAGUGGGAGAUAAACUUCUUCUAAGGCUAAAUAUAUAUGGGAGACCGAUAGCGCACAAGUA
rnacentral:rRNA from 1 species